rnacentral:rRNA from 1 species
UACGUAGGGUGCAAGCGUUAAUCGGAAUUACUGGGCGUAAAGCGCGCGUAGGCGGCUUUGCAAGUCGGGUGUGAAAUCCCCAGGCUUAACCUGGGAACUGCAUUCGAGACUGCAUUGCUAGAGUAUGGGAGAGGGAAGUGGAAUUUCCGGUGUAGCGGUGAAAUUCGUAGAUAUCGGAAGGAACAUCAGUGGCGAAAGCGACUUCCUGGACCAAUACUGACGCUCAUGUGCGAAAGCGUGGGGAGCAAACAGG